GUGACGCUGGCGGCGUGCCUAUACAUGCAAGUCGAGCGGACCGACGGGAGCUUGCUCCCUUAGGUCAGCGGCGGACGGGUGAGUAACACGUGGGUAACCUGCCUGUAAGACUGGGAUAACUCCGGGAAACCGGGGCUAAUACCGGAUGCUUGAUUGAACCGCAUGGUUCAAUCAUAAAAGGUGGCUUUUAGCUACCACUUGCAGAUGGACCCGCGGCGCAUUAGCUAGUUGGUGAGGUAACGGCUCACCAAGGCGACGAUGCGUAGCCGACCUGAGAGGGUGAUCGGCCACACUGGGACUGAGACACGGCCCAGACUCCUACGGGAGGCAGCAGUAGGGAAUCUUCCGCAAUGGACGAAAGUCUGACGGAGCAACGCCGCGUGAGUGAUGAAGGUUUUCGGAUCGUAAAACUCUGUUGUUAGGGAAGAACAAGUACCGUUCGAAUAGGGCGGCACCUUGACGGUACCUAACCAGAAAGCCACGGCUAACUACGUGCCAGCAGCCGCGGUAAUACGUAGGUGGCAAAGCGUUGUCCGGAAUUAUUGGGCGUAAAAGCGCGCCCAGGCGGUUUCUUAAGUCUGAUGUGAAAG
rnacentral:rRNA from 1 species